rnacentral:rRNA from 1 species
GCGUCUGAUUAGAUAGUUGGUGGGGUAACGGCCUACCAAGUCGACGAUCAGUAGCCGGACUGAGAGGUUGAACGGCCACAUUGGGACUGAGACACGGCCCAGACUCCUACGGGAGGCAGCAGUGGGGAAUAUUGCACAAUGGGCGCAAGCCUGAUGCAGCAACGCCGCGUGAAGGAAGACGGUUUUCGGAUUGUAAACUUCUGUUCUUAGCGAAGAACAAUGACGGUAGCUAAGGAGCAAGCCACGGCUAACUACGUGCCAGCAGCCGCGGUAAUACGUAGGUGGCAAGCGUUGUCCGGAAUUACUGGGUGUAAAGGGAGCGCAGGCGGGAAAGCAAGUCAGCUGUGAAAUCCAUGGGCUUAACCCAUGAACUGCAGUUGAAACUGUUUUUCUUGAGUGAAGUAGAGGUUGGCGGAAUUCCGAGUGUAGCGGUGAAAUGCGUAGAUAUUCGGAGGAACACCGGUGGCGAAGGCGGCCAACUGGGCUUUUACUGACGCUGAGGCUCGAAAGUGUGGGGAGCAAACAGGAUUAGAUACCCUGGUAGUCCACACUGUAAACGAUGAUUGCUAGGUGUGGGGG